AUGGCAGCGAGCACUGGAGCCCUUGCUGCGGCUGUUUCAGCCGUGCUCGCGGUCACGGUAUUGCUCGCCUCGCCGGUCGCCGCGGAGGAGGGGUGCACGCGGCGGCCGGUGGUGUUCGCGUUCGGCGACUCCAACACGGACACGGGCGGCACCGCGGCGGCGCUUGGGAGCUACCUCCCACUCCCGGAGGGCCGCACCCAUUUCCGCCGCUCCACCGGACGGCUCUGCGACGGCCGCCUCGUCAUCGACUACCUCUGUGAGAGCCUGAACAUGAGCUACCUGAGCCCGUACAUGGAGGCGCUGGGCUCCGACUUCAGCAACGGCGCCAACUUCGCCAUCGCCGGCUCGGGCACCUUGCCGCGUGACAGGCCCUUCGCUCUCCACGUCCAGGUGCAGCAGUUUGUCCACUUCAAGCAGCGCUCCCUCCAGCUCAUCAGCCAAGGCGAGAAGGCUCCGGUGGACGCGGAGGGUUUCCGGAACGCGCUGUACCUCAUCGACAUAGGGCAGAACGACCUCUCCGCCGCCUUCUCGAGCGGGCUGACCUACGAUCACGUGGUCCAUCAUCGGAUCCCGGACAUGCUAUCUGAGAUACAGGAUGCUAUUGUGACUCUGUUCUACGAUGGAGCCAAGAACUUCUGGGUCCAUGGCACCGGUCCGCUGGGCUGCCUGCCCCAGAAGCUCGCCGAAGCCAUGAACUACGACGACGGCGAUCUCGACGACAGCGGCUGCCUCAGAACGCUCAACAACGCUUCCCACGAGUUCAACGACCAGCUCUGCUCCGUCUGCCACAAGCUCACGUCGCAGCUCAAGGGCGCCACCAUCGUGUACACCGACAUCCUGUCCAUCAAGUACGACCUCGUCGCCAACCACAGCGGCUACGCGUUUGAGGAGCCGCUCAUGGCGUGCUGCGGCUACGGCGGGCCGCCUUACAACUACAACGUCAACGUGAGCUGCCUCGACCCCGGCUACCGUGUGUGCGAGGACGGCGGCAAGUUCGUCAGCUGGGACGGAGUGCACUACACCGACGCCGCAAACGCCGUCGUCGCGGCCAAGAUUCUCUCGGCGGAGUUCUCGACUCCUAAUGUUCCCUUCGGCUACUUCUGCAAGACAUGA
rnacentral:rRNA from 1 species